GUGGCAUGAAAACGCUAUUCCUCCCAACGAGCGCAGCUCUGGCAUACUGGAGGAAUGACAACAAAGUCCUCAUCAUUUGUAAAGCCUUGGCAUACGCAAGGAUACCAAUUGUCGCAAAUGUCACAUGAAAACCAGCCAUCGACAACUCGAUCUGAUGUGCUGGUUGAUGGGGCCUCGUGACUAGAGCAGAAGAAGCACAAUGUAGUGUCUGGCGUUUCAUCAAAGGUGACUUCAGGAUCUUCUACAAGCUGGUCAGCGAACUUCUAAAAAUAAUGAUUUAGAAUUAUGGUUUUGUGUGAGUUGACAGGUUAGUUGUUUACUAAAUGAAGGCAGAAUGAUGUUUGACAGACUCUGGGUAUUUACCUUUGGUUUUAUUGUCCUUCGCUUGGGCCUCUCUAAGACUGAAGUUGGCAGAAAGAUGGGGAGAAAUAUCUCUGAGAGGUUUUCAGGAAUCAGACCCUGCUUAACCAAAGGAUUUUGCCCAAUAAAAUGACCACAGGCAUGGCAAAGAAUGUCCUGUUUUUCAGGUGGAUUGUCUUUAAAAAGAAAAGAGAUUAAUAAUGGAGUUACUUCUUUUAGAAGAUGCUGUUUGGGUUCAGCAGGG